AGUGAAGCGGCAACAGCUCAAAUUUGAAAUCUGGCGCAAGCCCGAGUUGUAAUUUGUAGAGGAUGUUUCUGGCGACGCGCCUUCCGAGUUCCCUGGAACGGGACGCCAUAGAGGGUGAGAGCCCCGUACGGUUGGAUGCCUAGCCUCUGUGAAACUCCUUCGACGAGUCGAGUAGUUUGGGAAUGCUGCUCUAAAUGGGAGGUAUACGUCUUCUAAAGCUAAAUACCGGCCAGAGACCGAUAGCGCACAAGUAGAGUGAUCGAAAGAUGAAAAGCACUUUGAAAAGAGGGUUAAAAAGUACGUGAAAUUGUUGAAAGGGAAGCGUUCAUGACCAGACUUGGGCAGGUUGAUCAUCCGUGGUUCUCCGCGGUGCACUCUGCCUGCCCAGGCCAGCAUCAGUUCGCCCCGGGGGAUAAAGGCUUUGGGAAUGUGGCUCCCUCGGGAGUGUUAUAGCCCACUGCGUAAUACCCUGGGGUGGACUGAGGUUCGCGCUCUGCAAGGAUGCUGGCGUAAUGGUCAUCAACGACCCGUCUUGAAACACGGACCAAGGAGUCGUCUUCGUAUGCGAGUGUUCGGGUGUCAAACCCCUACGCGUAAUGAAAGUGAACGUAGGAGAGAGCUUCGGCGCAUCUCCGACCGAUCCUGAUGUUCUCGGAUGGAUUUGAGUAAGAGCAUACGGGGCCGGACCCGAAAGAAGGUGAACUAUGCCUGUAUAGGGUGAAGCCAGAGGAAACUCUGGUGGAGGCUCGCAGCGGUUCUGACGUGCAAAUCGAUCGUCAAAUAUGGGCAUGGGGGCGAAAGACUAAUCGAACCUUCUAGUAGCUGGUUUCCGCCGAAGUUUCCCUCAGGAUAGCAGUAUUGAACUCAGUUUUAUGAGGUAAAGCGAAUGAUUAGGGACCCGGGGGCUAUAUAUUGCCUUCAUCCAUUCUCAAACUUUAAAUAUGUAAGAAGCUCUUGUUGCUUAAUUGAACGUGAGCAUUCGAAUGUAUCAAUACUAGUGGGCCAUUUUUGGUAAGCAGAACUGGCGA
rnacentral:rRNA from 1 species